AGCGAACGCUGGCGGUAGGCCUAACACAUGCAAGUCGAACGGCAGCACAGUAAGAGCUUGCUCUUACGGGUGGCGAGUGGCGGACGGGUGAGGAAUACAUCGGAAUCUACUUUUUCGUGGGGGAUAACGUAGGGAAACUUACGCUAAUACCGCAUACGCCCUACGGGUGAAAGCAGGGGAUCUUCGGACCUUGCGCGAUUGAAUGAGCCGCGGUCGGAUUAGCUAGUUGGCGGGGUAAAGGCCAACCCAGGCGACGAUCCGUAGCUGGUCUGAGAGGAUGAUCGGCCACACGGGAACGGAGACACGGUCCAGACUCCUACGGUAGGCAGCAGUGUGGAAUAUUGGACAAUGGGCGCAAGCCUUAUCCAGCCAUACCGCGUGGGUUAAGAAGGCGUUGGGGGUGUGAAGCCCUUUUGUUGGGAAAGAAAAGCAGCAGGUUAAUACCCCGCGGUUCUGACGGUACCCAAAGAAUAAGCACCGGCUAACUUCGUG
rnacentral:rRNA from 1 species